rnacentral:rRNA from 1 species
GAUGAACGCUGGCGGCGUGCCUAAUACAUGCAAGUCGAGCGAACGGACGAGAAGCUUGCUUUUCUGAUGUUAGCGGCGGACGGGUGAGUAACACGUGGAUAACCUACCUAUAAGACUGGGAUAACCUCGGGAAACCGGAGCUAAUACCGGAUAAUAUUUUGAACCGCAUGGUUCAAAAGUGAAAGACGGUCUUGCUGUCACUUAUAGAUGGAUCCGCGCUGCAUUAGCUAGUUGGUAAGGUAACGGCUUACCAAGGCAACGAUGCAUAGCCGACCUGAGAGGGUGAUCGGCCACACUGGAACUGAGACACGGUCCAGACUCCUACGGGAGGCAGCAGUAGGGAAUCUUCCGCAAUGGGCGAAAGCCUGACGGAGCAACGCCGCGUGAGUGAAGAAGGUCUUCGGAUCGUAAAACUCUGUUAUUAGGGAAGAACAUAUGUGUAAGUAACUGUGCACAUCUUGACGGUACCUAAUCAGAAAGCCACGGCUAACUACGU